AUUAUUGCAAUUUUUUUAAAGUGAUAUAUUCUUAGGGAACACAAUAUUCACACUCAUACUCAAACUUUUCAGAGAUGAAGCUAUGAAACUCCAAGCCUCAUCACUGAAACUCCAUCUUGAAGCUGGUAACACUCGAAGCUCUGCAAGCAAGUUUCCAUCUCGAAGCCUUGAAGAAAGUCCCCAUCUAGAAAGGUAAGCGCUCAAACUCCAUUUUUGAUAUCAAAGCUUCAGUUUACCAAAAAAUGAAUUUGUUGAUUCAGAUAUCAAGAGAAAUCAAUUUCCCAAGCUGGGUUUAUCAAUAACCAGUUAUAAAAUCAAAAUCCUUGUUCCAAUUUACAGUAUUGCCACAUUUAGGUCAUUCGAUUUUGAUGACUUUCAACUCUUUCACUAUGAAAUAUAGGAACCCCCAUUAGGAGGUCAAACAACUGCAUUAGUAUAUCAGAUUGACUCGGCAUACCAUUAUUUUUCAGUUUCAACUCGACAUACCAUUGUUUUCGAGCUGAAGAAUACGAACCCUAACUAGAAAUUGUUUUACUUGACCACUAAAAUAGAGAUUUUAGUAAUUUUGGUGUUACGAAAAUAUGAUAUUCUAAUGAUGAACUCUCUCCAUUUAGUUUAGCUUGUAGUAAGAUUGAAUUUUCUGAAAAUGAGGAAGAGGAAGAGUUUGAAGAAGAUAUAAAUAUUGACUAGUGCUUGAUAAUCUACUAUUGUAUUUUAAAUGUAUUUUGUUUAUUUCUGAUUUUAAAUUUAGGAUAAUGUUCUUUAGUUUCUUCUUUUAACUAUGUGUAUUCUAUAUCUUAUUUUAACUCUUAAUUAAAUCUACUAAUUGGAGUUUUAAUAAUUGUUAUACACUAGUUAACCAUGCAUUUAUUAGAAUUACUUACCGUUAAUACAGAGGAUUCCUUAUUAGAAUUACUUACAAUUAUUUACUAACUAGUAAACUUAGCCGUGCUAUGCGUGGUGUCUAAAAAUUUUCAUUUUUAUUUAAUUUUUAAAUUCAAAUAGAUUAUUUAAUAAAUUUUAUUAUUUAGCUUUGUAAUUUCAACUCAAUACAUGAAUUAAUUUUAUCAAAAAAUAAAUACCUGUACGGUCAAAUAUCUAUAUUUUUUUGGUUGAAUAGUACCUAUUAUUUUAUGUUAGUUAUAAUAUAUAAUUAAGAAUUUAUGACUUCAUUAUCCAUUUGAAUGAGUUCUCAAAAUUAAACAUGGUUAACUUUGAUGUUUUGUUAAAAAUUUAAAGUGAGAUUUUUAGUCUUUUAAAUUUUUUAAAAAAUAUCAAAAGAAUUAAAAUAUUAAUAAAUUCAAAAACAGACAUAGAAAUAUGAAAAAUUAUUCGUAAUAGAUAAGCUACCAAUAAUUUGAAGACUUAAACAAAAUAAUUCAAUAUUUAUAUAUUAAGAUAUAAAGUUCUUUGUAUAUUGAUUCUUUGAAAAAAAAAUGGGUGAUACAUGAUUUUUGUUCGGUAAAAUAAUUUUUAGUGAUAUACAAUUAACAUAAAAAUAAUAUAUUAUUGUUAAAAUGCAUAAUAAAAUAAGUAAUAAAUGAACAAUUAUAGAUGAAUGAUAAAAGGUUUUAUGGUAAGAUUAAAAAAAAACUUAUAUAUCUACUAAAAACUUAUAAUUAGACUCUUGAAUUUUUUCUGAAUAAAGUAAACAUAAAAAAACUGUUCACAAAUAAUAUGAAUAUUUAUAAUUAUUAACAAUAAUUAAUAUUUUCUUAUAAUUAAACCGUAGGAUAAAAAGUUAAGUAAAUUUUUAGAAUCAUUAUAAUGGAGGAUGAAUGGUUAAGUAAUAAGUAUAUUUGAAAUGAUUAUCUGUAUUAAUUUUUUCCUUGAUAAAUUUUCUUCUAUAAUUCUAUUUUUUUUAAAAAAAUUUAUUUCGUCGCUAUUUUUAGUCUCCCUUUUUUUUUUAGUCUUUGCUUAUUUAAUUCUAAUAAGAAAACAUAAACAAUUAGCAUCGUAAUUAAGAGAAUGAAGUUUGCUCGUCUUUAGUAUUUUUACUAAUUUAUAUAUAUUUUUGUAAAACAGUAACAAUUAGCAUCAAAUCUUAACAUAAUCAAGUUAGCUUGUCUUAAGCUUUUUAUUAAUUUAAGCAAAAUGUUUAAAUGAAUUCUCUUAAUUAAUUUUUAUUAUAUUUUUCAUGAUUCAUAUUUUAUUUAAAAUUUAAAAAUAACUUCAUAAUAAUUUUGAUUAUCUCCCGCCGCUAAGCGUAUCUACAAAUACAUUUUAAUGUUUUCAAGAAUUGUUUUUGUCUUACAAUUUGUAAUGAUCUUGCUCUUAUAAUUUCAUGCAAAAAAUAAAUCAAUUAUUUUCUUUUAUAUAUCUUAUUUUGUAUCAUUCUUAUUAGAAGUAAAAUAAUUAUACAAAGAAGUCUUUGUCGAUAGAUUUUGUAUUACAAGAUUAAAGUAGAGGACAAUUAAACUAAACAUAAGUAUAUUGGUUAGAAAUAUUUUUUGAUGUGAUUUUAAGAUGUCACAAAUUUAAACAUUAAGUAAUUUGGGGUUAUGAAGGUAUUUUUUUAAAGUUGGAAGUUAUAGGUAUUACUAAUAAGUAAUAAUUAAGUAUAGAGGUUUUGAAAGUUGAAGAGGUGUGAGUUUAUGAUAAAAAUUAAAUUAAUAAUAAAUAUAUAAAAAUAAGAGAAAAAGGUAAAAAAAAAAUAUGACAUAUUUUUUUAAUAAACAAAAAUAUAUUUAAGUAAAAUCCUCCACCAUUUUUAUGAUUUAUUUUAUUAUAUGACAUAUUUUCUUUUUACCUCAUUUUAGAAAUUUCAAAUUAUUAAAAGUCUCCAAAUAUACUUCUAAUAAUAAACAUUAUUUUUAGUAAUUACUAUUAUUUUGAACAAUAUAUAUUUUUUCUCUUAUUUUAUAUUAUAGGAGAGAUAUCUAUUAAGAGAAAAAUUAAUUAAAAAUAAAUUUAAAAAGGGACACAGAAUUAAAAAGUUAGUCAAAAGGAAUAGAAUUUUUUUUUGAAAUUAUCAAAAAAAAAUAAUCGUACGAAUGUUUUAAAAUAAAAUUUAAAAAUAUUUAAUUUUUUGCUGAUUAAAUUUUCAAAACUGUGAAACAUUUGGCCUAUAAAUAAUAAUUAUAUAUGAAUAAUAUAAAAAAUAAUGCAACAUUAAAAUUAUGUAUUUUUACCAUAUCAUUGUUAUGUGAUUGUGAGAUACGAAACUAUAACAGGAAUCGAUUUAUUUGAUUCUUAGCUAUAUAAUAUUUGAAUUUAAUAUUUAGUAUUUUAUUUACUUUACAUUGAGAUAUGAUAUAUUACAAUUUUUUAUUACUUAUAUUUAUUAUAUAUUUGUAUAACAUUUUUAUAGCUAGUGAGGAGGAUGAUAUUGUUAGACGAAAUUAGAAAUAAGAUAUAUUGGCGUUUUUUCAAUUAACUAAUUAAUCUGAUAAGGAACCAAUCAACUCUUGUUACAUCAGUGGUUUAAUCGGAGAAAUAUAAACAAUCCAUACAAUAAUAUCAACAAACAUACAUAAAAUUAAUUAACUAAUCAAACAAAAAUAUUUAAAAUAUAUGAUUCUUCAAAUUCACAAAGUGAAUAAAGACAAUCAGUGUCGAUAGAAACUACAAGAUUAAGAAAAAAAAUCUCAUAAAACUACAAACAGAAGCAAAAAAAAAAAAUGAACAAAUUAUUUUUUCUAUAAAAGAAUCAUGAUUUGUAUCAUCAACAACUCAACCUAAUAAUAUCAAAUAUAUAUGUAAUUACAACAGAACAAAGUGAUAAUGAUAAUUAAACAUAUUAAAUCAUUUUACCUCCCAAAAUCAAAAUAUGCAAAAUAUAUAACAUUUUUUAUCAUACAUCCCUCUCCUGCAAAAAUCAGAUCAAAGAAAACGAAAAAAAAAAUUAACAAAUCAAAGGUAUAAAAAAUGAAGAAUAAGGAAAAUAAAAAUAAAAUGACCAUCAUGGAAUAUCUCAAAGUGGGUUUUUAUAGGUGUAAUAUUUAGGAGUUAUAAUUUUUAUAUUAAAUAUUUUGAAGGUUAUGAAUAUGAAAGGUUAGGAGUUAGAAGGUGUAAUGCUCAUUAACUAAUUUAUUAAUAGCAAUAUAUAUAUAUAUAUAUAUAUAUAUACACACACACACAAUAUUAUUGUGUAAAAAGAAAUAAUCUAAAAAGCCCUUCUUUUAAAAAUAAAAAUAUAUAUUUUUCUCAUCAUUGAGGCAUGCCACAUAGGCCGAUUGAAGAUCCUCAUUUAUAUAUAUAUAUAUUGAUUGUUUCGAGUGUUUCACUCUAUUUUCUGUUAUUGUAGUAAUUUUCAUUAUGAGGGACAAUAUUUUAUUCUAUUUUAUAACAGUCAUGAUCUAACAACAAUAUAUAUGUUAUAUUUGUUCACAUAUGGCUCGAGGCUGAGGUCGUGGGAAAUUCUCAAGUAGGAGUGAUCCUGCUAUUCGUGUAAGCGUGCCAACUAUUUCCAUGUCCACUAUAGUUUCUCCUCAACAAGGUGGUAUCCAGACCACUGUAACAGUCAACUCAAAGUAUCAGUCCAACCAUCUCUGAGGCACCUCCAUCUACACAAAAUCAAUAUAACCUAUAGGUUAGAGUCUGUCUACUCUAAGCAACACAACAGAUCAUACCAACAAAGUUGUUGCAACAUCACAUCAGAGUAAAGUAAUAAGUAAGGAUGUCUUCUCAGAGUAAUCCAACAAAUCAUACUAACACAUUUGCUGCUACACCAAAUCAGAGUGACGUAAUAGGUCAGGGUCUGUUUCCUCUGAGUAACCCAACAGAUCAUACCAACACAACUGAUGAAGGUGAAUCUAGUAAUAGGCAUACACGGGCCUUCGUCUUUAUAACUCAUGUAGGAUUAGUCCAUUCUUUUGCUUUUAUCCUUGUAACUUAUUUCUACUUAUCCUUGUCUUUCUACUUAGGCUUCUUCCCUAAUUUUCUAACAUAGGAGUAUUGUUUCUAAUAUCAUAUCAUUUCUCCACCUUAAGUUGAGGUUUCCUAUUUUUGAAGUGUGUUUGUACCUAUUUUUAAAGUGUAUUUGUAUUCUAUUUGGCUUACCUAUUUUUAAAGUGUAUUUGUAUUCUAUUUGGCUUUACAUGCUUGGACCAUAAUGCUUUUGAAGAAAUUGGUUAAGCUUCAAGCUUGAAGCUUAAAAUGCAACAUAAUUUACUGAUGUCCUUCAUCGUUAAGUGUCUACAGACGACACUUGCAGCAGUUUCAGUUUAAUAGCUAUUGUAAAUGAAAAUUUUAAACUCAAUCUAUAGGUGUACAUUUAGGAUUUUUUUCAAGAGUGUAGCGACGUGCUGAUAAUUAUUUUGUGUUGCUUCUGUUCGAAUGUUUAUGAACUCAAUCUAUAUGAACAACAAAUGUUUAUUAUGUGUUGCUUCUGUUAGAAUGAACUGACAUUUCUUUGAUAUAGUGAGAAAAUAUGAAAGAGAUUGGUGUGACUUUCAUUGAAUAUUCAUGGUUAUAGCAUGUCUGUUUGUUAUUGAUUGUUUUGCUGUCUAGAAUACUCUCUAUAUACACUUCAAGUUGCAGACUAGUUUUUGUUACUUAGUCAUUGUAAUGCCAUCUUCUCAUUGUAAUACCAUCUGCUCUUAGUACAUCCAUGUAUGCACCCAUAUAAUUUUAUUCUUAGUCAGGUGAUGCAUCUGUUAGGUGCCUAGCUUAUUCAUGUUCUGAAUAUUAGAACUGCUGCGCAAAAAUCUCAAGUGAUGCAUCUGUCAAUUUCGCAGAUUUUCAAGUAAAAAAUUUGCAGAUUGCUAGGCAGAAUUUUAAGUCAAAAAUUUCCAGAUCAUGUGUGAUCUGAAAAUCACUUUAUAACUGCUAGAAUAUUUUUCUGCCUAUUUACUGUUAGUUUAUCAGUAAUAUGAUUAUUUAUUCUGUUAGAACUGACAAAUGACAAAUGCAAUGUCAUAUAGUAAUAUUAUUUUUGAUUUAUGAUAACCCUUCUAAUGACCUUUUCGACUUUACACAGGUUGGAACCUUCUAAAAUAUGCUCUAAUUUAUUAUUUAACUCUUUGAAAAGUGAAGUUGAUCCCAAUGGAAUCAACUGAAAAGAUGUCUCAAAUCAUAUACGAAAUGGUUAUUUUGGAGAAUACAAGAUAUAAUUUUUCAUCGUUAGUGAGUUUAGUAAGUAUAUUCACAUUUAUAGACAGGACGUUAUUGUAUUACAUUAAAAGAAAAUCAGAAAAAGUUCUACUGGAAUGUUUCCAUUAGUGAAAAAGAAAUAAAGAGACACUGGUUGGUUGAGGCAACAGUAAAAUAUAGGAAUUUCAUUUCUCAAACAAUAGGUGAAAUAGUUAGGCCAUUUUUUUGUACAUGAACAUGUGUGGAAAAGAUAGAUGCAACUUUGGGAAAGUUAUGAGUGUAUUCAGAGAGCAAAAAUGAAUGCAAAGAAUCGUCAUGUUGGCCGUGAAGUUGCUGUUGGAACUCACGGGGGCGACUUUAUAUCAAUCGGAGAAUAUCGCAAGAAACUUGUGAGUAUAUUUUUACGAACUCUUUAACUAACAUCUUCCUGUAUUGUAACGACCUGUUUAGUCGUUUUGAGCAGCAGAUUUUAUUUCUGGAAAAAUUGGCUGAAACAACGGAACCCACGACGGACCGUCACAGGCACGACGGUCCGUCACAGAUGUCUCGUUUCAAUAUACUUAGGAAUUCUGAAAUUGGGUACUGAAAAUCGACUCUCUGAACUUCGUAACGGACUUGCAGGACGGACCGUCACAGGUGUGACGGACCGUCACAGUGUCCUUGGUGAAAAUAAAGUCCUGGCCCUCACGACGACCUGAGUGACGGACCGUCGCAGUCACGACGGCCCGUCACAGGUUACGCAAUCCCAGUUAGAAUCGGAUUUCUUUUCACGUUUUAAGGGACGUUUUGGACUAUUCUUUCCUUAAUUAUAGAUUUCGUGGGUUUACAUUAAUAACUCAAAAUUCUUGAGGGAUAAAAGAGGUAAUUUUGGGUUAAUUAGUGGGGUAUUAUUGUCAUCUUUUACACUUAGUUAUAUGUUAAUUAGGGUAAAAGAAAGAGGGUUUUGAAUAAGAAAAGAGAAAAGAAAAGAGAGAGAUAGAUUGAUCGAUUGAGAGAGAGAGUCGAACGAGGAAGAAGAAUAUCAAAGCUUGGGAGAUUGCUUGUUGAUUCCAAUUCUUCGGUGGAGGUAGGUUAUGGUUAUUUCAUGCUAUUCGUAGUAAACUCUUAAUAGUGAAUGAUAUGUGUUAGUAGUAUUGUUAACCCUUCUAUAUGCUUAAUUGUAUGCUUGCAUGAAUGAUGUGAUUAUGUAAUUAUGAAUAAAUAAGCAUGAUGAAGCUAUUGAAUCCCAAAUCUUGAAAAGAAACCCUAAUCUACUUUGAUAAUGAUGAUGCUUUGGUAUGAAAGAAGGCUUGAUGAAUGAAAGUAGUGAGAUUAGGGGAUCGGGUGCCACGUUCCGGUACCAGGAUAGAAUAUGGAUCGGGUGUCACGUUCCGACACCAGGAUAGAAUAUAUAUGGAUCGGGUGCCACGUUCCGGUACCAGGAUAGAAUAUGGAUCGGGUGUCACGUUCCGACACCAGGAUAGAAUAUAUAUGGAUCGGGUGCCACGUUCCGGUACCAGGAUAGAAUAUGGAUCGGGUGUCACGUUCCGACACCAGGAUAGAAUAUAUAUGGAUUGGGUGCCACGUUCCGGUACCAGGAUAGUAUAUGAGGAUCGGAGUGUCACGUUCCGACACCAGGAUAGAAUAUGGAUCGGGUGCCACGUUCCGGUACCAGGAUAGUAUAUUGAGGAGCGGAGUGUCACGUACCGACACGAGGGGAAUAAAGAUAAUGAAUCUUGAAAUAUGAUAAUAUAUCCAAUCUAAUAAACUAAAUUCCCAAAUGAAUAUGAUGAGGAGGUGUGAGUCCUCAUUGAUGUGCUUGGUGUUGUAACCAAGGGUUAUGGUAACUAUAAAUGCUGCAUGUUAAGGAUAUUAGUUGAUUUUAUGAUAUUGCUUAAUACAUACUGUUCCCUAUUUUGAGUUGGCCGAUGAUAUCUACUCAGUACCCGUGGUUUGUACUGACCCCUACUUUUAUGUUUUUCUUCUUGUUAGUUGUGGAGUGCAGCAAACGUGCCGUCAUCUUCGACUCAACAGUAACUCAAGCCAGUCUUCGUCACACCGGAUCUUCAGGGUGAGCUAACGCGUCUAGCUUGGACUGGAUCUUCUCCUUCAUGUCUUGAUGCCUUGAACCUCCGGCAUGGACUAGCUUCUUAUGUAUUUUUAGCUUUUAGAAACUCUUAGAAUUAGUAGUUUAAAGUAGAUGUUCUUGUGAUGAUGACUUCCAGGUUUUGGGAAUAAUAGAUGUUGAAUAUUGAUAGUUAUUGAAUUGGUUUUUAUUAAUGAGUUUAAGUCUUCUGCAUUAUUUUCUGUUGAUGUUACAUUGAAAUGUUAAGGUUUAGAUUGGUUGGUUCGCUCACAUAGGAGGGUAAGUGUGGGUGCCAGUCGCGGCCCGGAUUUGGGUCGUGACAUGUAUGGUAUAUGUUUGUAUCUGAACACAUACUAUGCACUUAAUAUG
rnacentral:lncRNA from 1 species